rnacentral:rRNA from 1 species
GAUGAACGUUGGCGGCGUGCCUAAUACAUGCAAGUCGAACGGAGAAAUUAGAGUAGCAAUACCCUGAUUUUCUUAGUGGCGAACGGGUGAGUAACGCGUUGGUGACCUGCCCCAAAGAGUGGGAUAACAGUUCGAAAGAGCUGCUAAUACCUCAUGUGAUCAUUUGGAUUAGAUGCCUUAUGAUUAAAGGAGCUUGCUCCGCUUUGGGAGGGGCCUGCGUACCAUCAGCUAGUUGGUAGGGUAAUGGCCUACCAAGGCUUUGACGGUUAGGGGACCUGAGAGGGUGGCCCCCCACAAUGGAACUGAAACACGGUCCAUACACCUACGGGUGGCAGCAGUAGGGAAUAUUGGUAAUCUGCGAAAGCGGGAACCAGCAACGCCGCGUGUGCGAUGAAGGCCUUCGGGUUGUAAGCACUUUUCGGGAGGAAGAGGAAGGACUGUACUCCCGGAAUAAGUCUCGGCUAACUACGUGCCAGCAGCCGCGGUAAUACGUAGGAGGCUAACGUUAUCCGGAUUUACUGGGCGUAAAGCGCGUGCAGGCGGUUCGGUAAGUUGGACGUGAAAGCUCCCGGCUCAACUGGGAGAGGUCGUUCAAUACUGUCGAACUAGAGGAUGGUAGAGAGAAAA